rnacentral:rRNA from 1 species
GUGGGGAAUAUUGGGCAAUGGGCGCAAGCCUGACCCAGCAACGCCACGUGAGGGAAGAAGGCUUUCGGGUUGUAAACCUCUGUCCUUGGUGACGAAACAAAUGACGGUAGCCAAGGAGGAAGCCCCGGCUAACUACGUGCCAGCAGCCGCGGUAAUACGUAGGGGGCGAGCGUUGUCCGGAAUUACUGGGCGUAAAGGGUGCGUAGGUGGCCUUUUAAGUUGGAUGUGAAAUACCCGGGCUUAACUUGGGGGGUGCAUCCAAAACUGGGAGGCUAGAGUGCAGGAGAGGAAAGCGGAAUUCCUAGUGUAGCGGUGAAAUGCGUAGAUAUUAGGAGGAACACCAGUGGCGAAGGCGGCUUUCUGGACUGUAACUGACACUGAGGCACGAAAGCGUGGGGAGCAAACAGGAUUAGAAACCCCAGUAGUCC